rnacentral:tRNA from 1 species
CUUAGCUCAAUAAGGUAGAGCAGCUGUUUUGUAAACAGCAGGUUGCAGGUUCGAUUCCUGUUGG